rnacentral:rRNA from 1 species
UACGGAGGGAGCUAGCGUUGUUCGGAAUUACUGGGCGUAAAGCGUGCGUAGACGGUUAUUUAAGUCGGGUGUGAAAGCCCCGGGCUCAACCUGGGAAUUGCAUUCGAGACUGAAUAGCUAGGGUACGGUAGAGGGAAGCGGAAUUUCCGGUGUAGCGGUGAAAUGCGUAGAUAUCGGAAGGAACAUCAGUGGCGAAAGCGGCUUCCUGGACCAGUACCGACGUUCAGGCACGAAAGCGUGGGGAGCAAACAGG